GGAUUAGAUACCCUGGUAGUCCACGCCGUAAACGAUGAGCACUAGUUAUUGGAGGUAUUGACCCCUUCAGUGACGCAGCUAACGCAUUAAGUGCUCCGCCUGGGGAGUACGGUCGCAAGACUAAAACUCAAAGGAAUUGACGGGGGCCCGCACAAGCGGUGGAUUAUGUGGUUUAAUUCGAAGCAACGCGCAAAACCUUACCUAGGCUUGAAAUCCUCGGAAUCUGGUGUAAUGACCGGAGUGCUCGCAAGAGAAUCGAGUGACAGGUGCUGCAUGGCUGUCGUCAGCUCGUGCCG
rnacentral:rRNA from 1 species